rnacentral:rRNA from 1 species
UAAACGCUGAAGGCAUCUAAGCGUGAAGCCCCCCUCAAGAUGAGAUAUCCCAUCGUAAGAGUAAGACCCCUUGAAGACGACGAGGUUGAUAGGGCAGGGGUGGAAGUGCUGUAAAGCAUGGAGCUGACUGCUACUAAUCGGUCGAGGGCUUGACCAAAA